UUUAAACAUAACCGUGAGUUUCUAAGUUCAAACUUAAUCGUCUGUCUUAUUUAAUUUUUUUUAUGAUUAAUAUUUUUUAUUGUUAUUAGAUGCUAAAAUAUGAAUAGUAUUUUAUUCGUGACUUAUGUUUUUUAUUUUUUUUAAAAAAAUAAAUAAGAUAAACGAUUAAAGUUGUACACAUAAACUUAUAGUUGCGUUUAAA
rfam:Oryza meridionalis cultivar OR44 (W2112) chromosome 3, whole genome shotgun sequence.